UUCCGGUUGAUCCCGCCGGAGGUCACUGCUAUCAGUGUUCGACUAAGCCAUGCGAGUCAAAUGUUCUUCGUGAACAUGGCGUACUGCUCAGUAACACGUGGACAACCUGCCCUAAGGUCUGGCAUAACUCCGGGAAACUGGGGAUAAUUCCAGAUAAACCAUAGAUACUGGAAUGUGCUGUGGUUAAAAGCUCCGGUGCCUUAGGAUGGAUCUGCGGCCUAUCAGGUAGUAGUGGGUGUAAUGUACCUACUAGCCUACGACGGGUACGGGUUGUGAGAGCAAGAGCCCGGAGAUGGAUUCUGAGACAUGAAUCCAGGCCCUACGGGGCGCAGCAGGCGCGAAAACUUUACAAUGCGGGAAACCGCGAUAAGGGGACACUGAGUGCCAGCACCAUGUGCUGGCUGUCCGCAUGUAUAAAUCACAUGUGUCAGCAAGGGUCGGGCAAGACCGGUGCCAGCCGCCGCGGUAACACCGGCGGCCCGAGUGGUGGCCAUUAUUAUUGGGUCUAAAGGGUCCGUAGCCGGUUUGAUCAGUCUUCCGGGAAAUCUGACAGCUCAACUGUUAGGCUUCUGGGGGAUACUGUCAGACUUGGAACCGGGAGAGGUAAGAGGUACUACAGGGGUAGGAGUGAAAUCUUGUAAUCCUUGUGGGACCACCAGUGGCGAAGGCGUCUUACCAGAACGGGUUCGACGGUGAGGGACGAAAGCUGGGGGCACGAACCGGAUUAGAUACCCGGGUAGUCCCAGCCGUAAACGAUGCUCGCUAGGUGUCUGGGAUGGUGCGACCGUUUCAGGUGCCGCAGGGAAGCCGUGAAGCGAGCCACCUGGGAAGUACGGCCGCAAGGCUGAAACUUAAAGGAAUUGGCGGGGGAGCACUACAACGGGUGGAGCCUGCGGUUUAAUUGGACUCAACGCCGGAAAACUCACCUGGGGCGACAGCAAUAUGUAGGUCAGGCUGAAGGUCUUACCUGAAUCGCUGAGAGGUGGUGCAUGGCC
rnacentral:rRNA from 1 species